UUUCACUUGUCACUGUUGGUGAUAAGCUGUCAUCAGAGCCAGCCCUGAUAGAUUUUAGAUGAGAUCGUGGCCCGAGGCGGUUGAAGAAUGUGUCAUAGCACUGUUUGUGACCUUGUCACAGCCAAGGGCCGUUGAAGUGAGCAAGAAAAAGGUCUGGACGAAAGCUGCGCAUCCAAGCCCUGCAGAGUCGAGGACGCCAAGACCUCCUCAUUACUCAUUCUAGAACAACUGCGCUACCUCUUUAGAAACGAGAUAUUUUGUUAGCCAAGAUAUAGUGUCAAACAAAUAGUGGAUUCACUGGGGUUCAAUAAACAUAAAAGUGGGUGAGCUGCCCUGCUUGGCCCAGUUGUGGAAAUUAGGCUUUUGUUUUCGUGCCACUAUUUGAAGGAAAAUCAACCUUUUCACUGGGCCGUAUUUGUCUGUGAUUGAUGGCAGUGGGAUGCAGUUCGCGCCACGAGGGCCGCUGCCCACUGAUUCAGACCAUCUGGGCAGGUAGUGUAUCCUGUUGUCGCUGCAACAACAUAUUGUGGUUAAACCGGUCCCAGGAUGAUAGUAGGUGUGGUGCAUAUUGGUGACCGCACAGGAAAAAUAAAGCGCUGACUGACAUUUUUAUUGUUGCAUCAUUAUUGCUGGAUUGCAGCACAGCCCUCCUUCAUAUUUGACGUUAACAGUACAGAGAAGCUUGCAUUGACAAACUCUCACACUCAUCAUCCCCCUGCUGCUGCUGCAGUGUAUCAUAUGCCUCAUGACAACCUCUGCGCCCGCUGUGUGUCUUUUGUCCUCUAAAGACCGUUCUUAAUUGAUCCCUAAUUAGAAACAGCAGGUUGCAGAUGUUGAGCUUCCUCCUUUGCCAACUGCUGCUUAAAUACUCAUUUGGACGGGCAAGUGAGUCUUAACACAGCUUUCAUGUCAGUUUCUUUGAGGCUGUGCUAGUAUCAGUGACUGCUUUUUUGCUCGUCCAUUAUUACCAUCCAAAAAAAUGCUUACAGCACAACAUGGCAUAACAGCAAAGCCAUUUUUCCUCUUUUUCCAAUAUACUGUAGCAGACAGUAUCAUUUCCUAUUUUGUUUCUUUCUGCAGCGUCCUUCCUACACUGGAAAAAAAGCACUAUUCAUUAACAAUGUUCACUUUUUUUCUUAUGUUGAUGACUUGCCACUGAAAAAGGCUUAAUGUGUACCAUUUUCCUACACUUUCCAUUUCAUUUCUUCCCUAAACAGUACUGCUUUGCUUGCAAUUCUGUGACACUUAAGAAAAUGUUGCAGUAAAAAGCCCUGACUCUGCUGCCCAGAGUUUUCCUCAACUCUCAGACAGACUGGAUCAUCACUGCCUCUCGUGAUGUGUUUUUUUUAUUUAUUUAUUUAUUUAUUUUUACGUUCGAAUUCCAACACAAAGCUGACAGAAAAACUCUUAAUUUAUAUCGCACAUGGAGGUUUAUAAUUUGUUUUAGAAAGAGUUCUGACACUGCAGUGGGCUUCUGGGAGAUUAUCUAUUACCUCAUGGAAAUAUAAAAAAAACAUCUGCUCUCUGUUAUUUACAUUGUUCUUUUCUCAAGAGCCCCUCAUCUUUGUUAUAAAAUCUAUGUCACAUGUAAUGCCCGGUUGUUCAAAGGGCCGAGUAGUUUUGAUUGAAAUACUGUUUAGGUGGGAGUAAUGGAAUCAUAGCAUGCAUGGUUUUAGCCAGAUAACAUGCGACUGCUGAAAAGUAAACAGCUCAAAAUUAAAGUUGAUACCUCUCCCAGACGUGUGGUUUAGGAUGCUGAUCUAGUGCUAUUUUGGUUUGUCAAGAUAAAUCAAUUGCGCCCUCUACUGUCCAAAACAUGACAGUGCAUUUUUCCAUUUCUUGCUUUAAUUGCUGUAAUUGAACUGCAAAAAAAAUCAAACCUAAUAUGGGAAAUGUUCAAAUAACUACUUGUCAGAUUUGGUCACAGAUCGUAUGCAGGCACACCCACAUGCAUAUAAUGUUUUUUGCUCUUCUCCAUCCUGUUGUGAGGGUUGUACUCUAAGCGAUAACAUGCAAAAAAAUUGCAGUAAACUGUGUUGAGUUGAAAGAGUUAUUAUUUCUCUUGCUGUAUCAUAACCGCACCCUUUUCCCGGUGUGUGGAUAUUUAACACAUUAAAACCUCACUGCUG